UACGUAGGGUGCGAGCGUUUGUCCGGGAAUUAUUGGGCGUAAAGAGCUUGUAGGCGGUCUGUCGCGUCUGCUGAUGAAACCCGCGGCUUAACUGCGGGCUUGCGGUUGAUACGGGCGGGCUAGAGUUCGGUAGGGGAGACUGGAAUUCCUGGUGUAGCGGUGAAAUGCGCAGAUAUCAGGAGGAACACCGGUGGCGAAGGCGGGUCUCUGGGCCGAUACUGACGUGAGGAGCGAAAGCGUGGGGAGCGAACAGG
rnacentral:rRNA from 1 species